rnacentral:misc_RNA from 1 species
GGAUCCUUGAGAUACUCCUUCACCUGCUCAGCCUGUGGGUAAGAAUACUCGGUAGCAACAGCCACUGCAAGAACAUUCUUGUACGCAUUGAUGAACAUGUGGGGAGCAGCUGCAAGAGUUGGAUAUGAGAGAGCCAAGGACAGGGAAGCAACCAUUGAAACUCCAGCAGCAAAUCUCUCAAUCAAAUCAUCCUCGGAGAGGUCUAGCACCUCAGGACUGAACACCGACCCAUUGUCGUACACAGACACAACAACAAGACCGUAGGAGAAUGGCCUGAUCCCGAGCUUUGCAAGGAGGGCAGCCUCAGAGGAUCCCACCUUGUCUCCCUUCUUGAUCAGCUCAACAGGGGUAAUGAUCUCAACGG